rnacentral:rRNA from 1 species
UACGUAGGGUGCAAGCGUUAAUCGGAAUUACUGGGCGUAAAGCGUGCGCAGGCGGUUUUGUAAGUCUGUCGUGAAAUCCCCCGGGCUCAACCUGGGGAAUUGCGAUGGAGACUGCAAGGCUAGAAUCUGGCAGAGGGGGGGUAGAAUUCCACGUGUAGCAGUGAAAUGCGUAGAGAUGUGGAGGAACACCGAUGGCGAAGGCAGCCCCCUGGGUCAAGAUUGACGUUCAUGCACGAAAGCGUGGGGAGCAAACAGG